CUGAAAGGUAGUAACAACACUGGGGAGGCAGAGAAUGGUGAGCUUUCUUGCUGGGACAGGGACAGCAGUGGAACUCCAUGACAAGUUUGUGCUAGGACCUGGGAUGUUCUGUGGUACUCAUGACCAUCCUUGAUAAAAUAAUGACCACAAGUGGGAAGAGGAUAUUCUGCCACAUAAAAUUCUGACCUAACAUAGUACUGAUACUUCUGUGUAAAGAUCCCUCCAUCAUGGUGCAAAAAAUGCUCUACUGGACUUUGAUAUAAUUUCUUGUUAUUUUGGACAUGGAGAAGUGGAACAACUGUUUUUGAGCUUACAGACACUUCACAGCACCCCAAGGAGACCUGGGCAAGCAGAAGUUCCCUAGCAGGUACAAGACAAGGGCAGUGAUGACUGAAGUCAGUCCAUAUUGUUCAGCUUGCAAUGCCCUCAGACUUCAGUGAGUGCCAUGUAUUUCUUCAGGAUGUUUUGCUCCAGAGCUACAACUUCAACAGAGGUAUCUCCAUGAGAUGUGGUUGGUGGAGGAGGCCAGUCGGCAAACAUGUGCUGCUGUUUAUGGUGAUUCCAGCAGCUGGAAAGUGGCUGUGGAGCUGCCAGAGUGUGCAGUGCCAGACCAGCAUCUCCCCAGGGGUACUGGUCCUUUUGCCUGUUUUCCAAACACCUAGCUGAGCUGUACCUGUUUUCUAUUUCUGAGAAAAAACGUUGGUGAAACAAGUACUAUUGUAAAAAAAAUGUUUGUUUCUUAAAAGUACAUUACUGAUCAAAUCUGAUUGAGGCAUAGGAAAGGGGAGCCUGAGUUCUGUCCUUCCAACCAUAAAGAACUUCCAGGAAAAGAUACCAGGUCCUAUUUGUUGACAGAGAGUCCCAGGCUGUAGUUUCAGCUAUAGGUUAGGGUUACACUGAAGCAGUUGUUGCUGUCCUCUCAUCUGUGUUUGAAAACCAGUAUAGCACCAGAGCAGAUGAGGUCAAAUAUGUAUAUUAGCUAUAUCCAACCCAUUACUCACACUUUUGUCUGUGAAUUUGAGUGAAGGCUUCUCUGGAAAUAUUUGUUUCUUGCUCUCUGACUAAGCUCCCCAUCAAAUUAAUAGUGAUGUCCUGGAAGUGUAGUAAGUGGAAUUUUCAUAUGCCUUUGCCAACUUUUGAUAAUUUAACACAGCUGAAUCCAUUAUACUCUCACAAAAAGAAGUUAUGGAUCUAAACAGCAAUUCUAGGAGUCUAUUUUCAACUACUAUAUCAUUGACAUGAAUUCAAUUACUUACUUGUUUUAAUAAAACCUGUGAAUAAAUAACUAUUACA
rnacentral:lncRNA from 1 species